rnacentral:lncRNA from 10 species
GUGGGAUUAAAAGGAAUAAUACAUGAAAAGUAGUUGGCAUUGAAGAAUCAUGCAGUAAAUGCCUGGCCAUUCCAAAAAGUGCAGUCAUGGACAAAGUUUCACGUGCUGCCUAUCUCAUAUAUUCUCUACCCACUGAUAAAUGCCUAUGAGAGAGGGAGAUUAAGCAGCAAUGCCUAUGAGAGAGGGAGAACUCAACUCGAGGACAAGCAAGUGUCUGGAUCUGAGGUCUCCACGUGGAGGUUAUAAGGUGUCUGCGUCACUAGAAUUAGAAUUGCUUCUGAUCCCUGUAAAUACUGCCCUGGAAAAUGGACUUAGGCCUAACAGAGCUGAAGAAGAUAAAGAAAAAUGAAAAGACAAGAAAAGAGAAAAGAAGAGAGAGAGUGAGAAAGAAGAAAGAAAAAAAGAAAGAAAAGAAAGAAGGAAGGAAGGACAGAAAGAAAAAAGGAAGAAAGAGAAGAGAGAAGAAAGAGAAAAGAAAAGGAAGAAAGAAAAAGAAAAGAAACUCUCAAUAAAUGAGAAGGGUCAUUCAUCCAUUGAGGCAGGCAGGAAGUCACUAUAUAUAUUUUACACAGGUAAUAAAUGGCAGGGGUAUUGCUUAGGGCAGGAGGAAAAAGGAAUUAAACCCAUAGAAAACUGGACAAAGUGCAAUACUCUAGGAGUUAGACCUCCAAAUUAAAUCCUUACAAUAAUGUUGAGCAAGUGUUUUGAUACGUGUAUAAGCAGAGUCCUACUGGAACACAGAAGUUCUAAUGCCUCCUGGAGGACAGCAGGGAGACUUCAGAGAGGAGAUAGCCCUUGAGCAGACUUUCACAGCAAUUGCAUAUUUCCUCCACCAAAAUCUCCAUAAGGCACUGAACUAAUCCAUUGCAUUGCUGAACAGAAAGUUUAUGAAGGGGAAUAAAAUACAUCUGAGACUGGACAGCCACUUGAAUUAUUUCUAAAGUUCACACAACUCCAAGGUAACACUAACAACCACAACAAUUACUAUUAUUACUAACAUUUAUUCACAAUAUUUUAUUUUAAAUUACCUUUAGUUAAAUACUAAGAAUCUACAGGACUUAAUGCUACAGAACAGAAACCAUAAGUAGAAGGAGGCAGUAUCUCUCACUGAUGAAAAAUGAAUGAGGACAUGUGUUGAACAAUGAAAUACGGUUUAAUAAGGUGUCUCAUGUGAACCUGCAUAAGACAGAAAAAAGUCUUGCUCUUUAAAUCCAUUAAACAAUAACAAAGAAAUUGGUGUCAGAAAACUUAGAUAUGCGUAUUCAGCUAUAUUAAGUAAAACAAAGACCAAAAGAACUGGAAUAAUCUUAAUUAGAUGUUUAUUCUAGUCAAUAUCUAUAUCUAGUGUGUAUCAUUUCGGACAGUUGUCUUUCUUUCAAAACCCUUCAGCUAGAAUGCCUACCCCACUGUCACCUCCACUGCAGCCUUCAAGACCAAAGUCUUACAUUAUUAUGUGGAUCAAGGAGCCAAGCUCAAACAAACAUAAUCAACAGAGUUAUGGUAAAAAUUAUAGUUGGUUAAAUAGUUUACUGGCUCAACUUAAGCAAAAAGAAAGUCUAAUUUUGCCAGAAUAUUGCAGUAGAAACUUCGUGAAGGGUAUUGGGGCUGAGUCUACAAACAUUUAGC